CCUACGGGAGGCUGCAGUGAGGAAUAUUGGUCAAUGGGCGGAAGCCUGAACCAGCCAAGUCGCGUGAGGGAAUAAGGCCCUACGGGUCGUAAACCUCUUUUGCCGGGGAGCAAGGGCCGGGACGCGUCCCGGCCCGUAGAGUACCCGGAGAAAAAGCAUCGGCUAACUCCGUGCCAGCAGCCGCGGUAAUCCGGAGUAUGCGAGGGUUAUCCGGAUUUAUUGGGUUUAAGGGGUGCGUAGGCGGGCUUUUAGGUAGGUGGGAAAAAUUCGGGGCCAAACCCCGUCCGGCCGUUGAAACUGGGGGCCUUGAGUGGGCGAGAAGAAGGCGGAAUGCGUGGUGUAGCGGUGAAAUGCAUAGAUAUCACGCAGAACCCCGAUUGCGAAGGCAGCCUUCCGGCGCCCUACUGACGCUGAGGCACGAAAGUGCGGGGAUCGAACAGGAUUAGAUACCCGAGUAGUC
rnacentral:rRNA from 1 species